CUCCUGUGAGCCACAUAUGCCGUGGCAGGGAGCCAGGCUCAAGAUGUCUUGAUGGUACCAUGUUGGCCACUUGUGGAGUAUCCUGAGGAACAGGAUCAAAAGGAAGGUCCUAUGAGGGCGUCAGAGAGUAGGCAGCCCACAUCCAGAAGAUUCGUCACGCAGAGACCCCCAUGAAAGCCGGAACGAAGUUCCACUCACUGAUGGCAUUGAUGGCUGCUUUACAACAGCAUAUGGAGUAUGACAUCUGACCUGACACCUAGCGCCCCAAAAAGGACAGGACAGGGGGCAGGGCACCUGCUGCUUCAGGGCAAAGCAGCAGGUGAGGGGGAAGAGGAAGGAAGAGUGCCAGCCAGACCCCGCUCCCCAUCCUUCCCUCCUGUGGGGUUUCUAGCUUGGGUCAGGCUGAGACAAGGAGAGGGAAGCAGACUGGAGCUGGCCGUGAGGCUGAAUUUUAUAGAAACAGCGCUGGACGUUUUCACACCUGAAAAUUACUCUUAAUUACAAAAGUUAACAGGAGAGCAAAGCCAUCUGUCUGAGAUGCUGAUAAGAGAAGGAAGGUGCAAUGGAGUUUGAAGGCCAUAGUAGAUGAAGACUCCUUUGUAAAUUGAUGACACCUUGGUCCCACUCCUCCAUCUUUGUGUCUGGAAUGUCCCACCCAAUACAGGAUCCUUUCUUUCCGCUGGAUAUGCGUUUUCCAGUCAAGCACCAUCCCUUUGGGAGCCGUCCCUCCCAGCAUCACAGGAGCUUGUUCCUGUGUUCCCGAUGGGGUUCACCUGGCCUCCCAGGGGUGGGCUCAUCUCCUGAGCUUGACCAAUCGGAGGACUCCACCCCCCUGACCUACCAAGAAAGAGUUGCCCCCAACUGUGUUUUGUUAGAUUCUGUAUUUGCCUAUUUGGCAUCCAUCCAUCACAGGGCCAACUAUAUUAACUAUAUUUGCUUAUUUUCUGUAUUCUUGAUGCUCUACCCUUUGUGGCCUCGCUGACUGGGGAGAGACAGGGCCAGCUAAUUCCUAGUGAUGGUAAAUAACUUGCUUGCAGACACGCCUUGCACAUGCAUCCAAGCAGUCCAAGCCCAUACUCAACCGCCCCCUUCACCUAACUCCCUCCCACCACACCUGGAAUCACCCAGGGCGGACGCCAGAAAUCCAGGCACAGCCCGACACCCCAGAGCCACCGGGAUUAUUCCCACUAGCCAGUGCCCAGCUGUCACCCUGCCCCACCUCGCCUGUGCCCUGGAAACCCACGAAGGCUCUGGCUAGACUUCCCCUCCCUUUGCUGCUUCUGCCUCCUGAUGGAAAUUGGUGCUUCCCUGCGCGGCAGGACACGCCCCUCCUCUCAGGAGCUGUCCUAGGAGACAUUCCAGAGAGGCCAAGGCUGGGAGGCAAAACCCAUUUUGAUCCAUGACAAUAGCAGACAACUGGAAACCUUACUUUAGGGUGGAAGGGUCUUCCAGAUGCCCCUCAAAUCAACAAGGAGUGUUCCAGCAUCGUGGGAGGUCCAUCAGCCCAUAGGGCAAGUCCUUCCAUCCUCGGUGAUAGGGAUGCAACAGCAAUUCCAGCUGACACUUAUUGAACGCUGGCUGCACACAGCUCCACGCACUGUCGUGUACUAACUCGCUUCAUCUCCAUGAGUGACUGCUGCUGUUGUCCCCAUGUUAUUGACGAGAAAGCUUAGGCAGAAGGGAUUACAUCUUUGGGACAACCGAGAAGAGCGGGGCAGAGCCUCGGCCCGGCCAGCCCGCCCUGGAGCCCACGUCUCCGGCCGUUGGACAGCUCCAGCCGUCACAACGUUCUUCACCGUCUUGAAGUAAAAUCUCCUGGAACUUGUGCCCCUCAGUCCUGGUUCUGCAUUUGGGGGUCUCCCUGCUGAAGCCAGCUCCUCUCCAGCAAGAUGGCCCUGCAGGUGGGCGCCUUCAGCUCCAAGUGUCCCCACCCCAGCUCCUCAGCUCCAGACUGAAAAUGCCAUUAACUGUGGCUCGUGGGCCAUGACGUCAGGAGCCCCCUCCACCCUGGACGCCCUUGUCUGAGCUCCCCUGCAUGUGAAGCCCCCUCGACAGGGGCAGCUGAGAGCAGGAGCCCCGAAGAAGCUCUGACAGCAGCAGGGGGAGCACCAUCUCCAACCUUCCUGGAUCUGUGGUCUAGUCAGGAAUUCUUGGCUACACGGUUCUCAACGUCAUGUGCUCCAGAAUCUUCUAGGUCGAAGCUGCAGACCCGCAGACCCCCCAUCUGACACCCAGCAUUAGGAAGAUAUGGUGAACCCAGAACCUGCAUUUGGAAAAAAAGCCACAAGGCGUUUCUAAGUGGAAAAGGACCUCUGCUCUUGUGUAAAUGAAGGGAGGCUGUGCUGCACUCUGCUGGGGCUGCCGCAGGAGCUGGUCACCCUUCCAGCGACCCCACCACUGAAAGCCAUGCGGCCUGCGGAGUCUGCGCGCCGGCAGAGCGCCAGUCCGCACCUGUAGCCUCGCAUUCGCAGAGCAUCCACCGCGC
ensembl:lncRNA